AGAGUUUGAUCAUGGCUCAGGAUGAACGCUGGCGGUGUGGAUAAGGCAUGCAAGUCGAGCGCCUCGCAAGAGGAGCGGCGAACGAGGUAGUAACACGUGGGUAUUUCCCCCAAAGUCAGGAAUAACUAGUCGAAAGACUGGCUAAUACUUGAUAGUCUCUUCGGAGUAAAGAUUUAUCGCUUUGGGAAAAGCCUGCGGAGUAUCAGCUAGUUGGUAGGGUAAUGGCCUACCAAGGCAAUGACGCUUAGGGGGAGUGAGAGCUUGGCCCCCACCGAUGGUACUGAGACACGGACCAUACACCUACGGGUGGCCGCAGUCGAGAAUCUUCCACAAUGGACGAAAGUCUGAUGGAGCGACACCGCGUGAUGGAUGAAGACCCUCUGGGUCGUAAACAUCUUUUAUGGAGGAGAAAGUUUAUUGAUAGUACUCCACGAAUAAGGGGUUGCUAAACUCGUGCCAGCAGCAGCGGUAAUACGAGUGCCCCAAGCGUUAUCCGGAAUCAUUGGGCGUAAAGGGUGUGUAGGUGGCAUUGUUAGUCGAUUGUUAAAACCCGGGGCUUAACUCCGGAAGUGCGAUCGAAACGGCAAAGCUAGAGGAUGGCAGGGAUCUGUGGAACUCAUGGAGUAGGGGUGAAAUCCGUUGAUAUCAUGGGGAACACCGAAAGCGAAGGCAGCAGAUUGGGCCACUCCUGACACUGAAACACGAAAGCGUGGGUAGCGAAUGGGAUUAGAUACCCUAGUAGUCC
rnacentral:rRNA from 1 species